CAAACGGUGGCCGGACCGGUUUCUUCAACGCCGUGUACCUCAAAGCUAGCGACUUUUGCGGCGAAGAUCUUCUGACGUGGGCGUUGGAUCCUCAGUCUUCGUCUCAUUAUCCGAUCUCGACGAGAACAGUUCAAGCUCUAACUGAAGUUGAAGCCUUUGCUCUUGCAGCAGAAGAUCUCAAGCUUGUCGCCUCGCAGUUCAGACGGCUCCAUAGCAAACAGCUUCAACAUACUUUCAGGUUUUAUUCGGUACAAUGGAGGACAUGGGGAGCAUCGUUUAUACAAGCGGCGUGGAGGAGACAUUGUCGGAGAAGAUUGGCUAGGUCGUUAACGGAGGAAGAAGAUCGAUUCCGAAACGCGGUUGCAAAACGCGAACGCAGAGCCGCGUCGUCGUCGUCGAGUCUUGUUGCGACGUUAUAUGCGUCGCGGUUCGCGUCAAACGCGCUUCGCAAUCUGCGUCAGCACAAUACGCUGCCUUUGCUUCCUCCGAAGCCAUCAGAGCCUGAUUUCAGUGUUGAUGAUGAUUGAAACAUCUCUUCCACGACUCUACUUUACCACUUGUAAAUUGUCAACUACAAUAAUCAUUUUACUGUCUAUAAAAAAUGACCAUAAAUCAUGAUAAAAGUAUAGUAGAGUAACGAAUUUUUAUAUAUGAAUGAUAUACAGAGGAGAAAUUAUCUCGUGUAUUUCUAAACAAGAA